CGCCAGGAGGCGAAAAAAAUGACCCUAUUUUCUAAGAAGCUCAGAGCGCUUGCGCCGACCCCUCCUCCCGCAGCCUUUGUGCGGAAAGGAGGACGUCGCGCGUGCGCGGCGGGUACUAGGACUCGAGCGUGUCGCUAAAGGCCCUCAGAGGCACCAGGAUUGCCGCGUGGAUCACCGUUCAUCGCUGCUUGACCCGGCGGUCUUACUUCGGACAUUUAAACUUCCAAGUUAGCCUUCGUUUACAGUAAUGUCAGCGGAUGAACAAAACUGUCACUCAAGCUCUCUGACAAUGUUAUACACCGAUUUUCAGGAAUAUACACGCUUCUACUUUUCUUGCUCCACACCUUCUACCCGGGAGUAACCCUUCUGUUUCCUUCUCAGAAUCAGUAUCCAACAGAUCCCUUAAGAUCGAGCCCAAUUCUGAUCUUCCUUGAGGGACUUGCCUGGCGAUCCAGUGGUUAACACUCCCCGCUUGCACUGUAGGAGGCAUGGGUUUCAUGCCUGGUAGGGCAGCAGAGAUCCCACAAGCCUCGUGGCGAGGUCCCCAAACAAACAAAUAAGAACAACAAAACCUUUCUUGAAACCAUUUCAGACUGCAUGAUUGUUGAUCUCUUUUCUGGAGUGGAUGGGUUAGCAUUUACCAGUCUGUGUCCUGAUCCCUGCAGGCAGGUGCAAUUUCCUUAAAUAUCUACAUCGCAUAGUGGUCCCAUAGAAAUGUUUCAUAAACUGAAAGAUGCAUAACUUGACUCUUGCCCUUCUAAUAUCUUAGAAUAUUGUUAGUCUCAAAAACAAAAAAAAGGAAGAAGAAAAAAAACACCUCAUGAGUAAGGAACAUGUCUGGUGUCUUAAGAGUAAUUGUUUUCUUUUUAAGGGAACCAUUUA